rnacentral:rRNA from 1 species
UGCGUAGGCGGCUGGAUAAGUCACGUGUGAAAGGACCGGGGCGUCAACCCCGGACUCGGCAUGUGAGACUGUCCGGCUCGAGCAUGGUAGAGGCGGGCGGAAUUCCUGGUGUAGCGGUGGAAUGCGUAGAGAUCAGGAAGAACACCGGUGGCGAAGGCGGCUCGCUGGGCCAUUGCUGACGCUGAGGCACGAAAGCGUGGGGAGCAAACAGGAUUAGAUACCCUGGUAGUCCACCGCCCUAAACGAUGGACACUAGGCGUCGAGGGGAGCGACCCUCCCGGUGCCGUCGCUAACGCAAUAAGUGUCCCGCCUGGGGAGUACGGCCGCAAGGCUGAA